rnacentral:rRNA from 1 species
AUGCAGUCGACGCACUGUGGUUCAACUGAUUUGAAGAGCUUGCUCUGAUAUGACGAUGAACAUUGCAGUGAGUGGCGAACGGGUGAGUAACACGUGGGAAACCUACCUCUUAGCGGGGGAUAACAUCUGGAAACAGAUGCUAAUACCGCAUAACACUAGCAACCGCAUGGUUGCUAUUUGAAAGAUGGUUCUGCUAUCACUAAGAGAUGGUCCCGCGGCGCAUUAGUUAGUUGGUGAGGUAAUGGCUCACCAAGACGAUGAUGCGUAGCCGAGUUGAGAGACUGAUCGGCCACAAUGGGACUGAGACACGGCCCAUACUCCUACGGGAGGCAGCAGUAGGGAAUCUUCCACAAUGGACGAAAGUCUGAUGGAGCAACGCCGCGUGUGUGAUGAAGGGUUUCGGCUCGUAAAACACUGUUGUAAGAGAAGAAUAGCAUUGAGAGUAACUGCUCAGUGUCUGACGGUAUCUUACCAGAAAGGAACGGCUAAAUACGUGCCAGCAGCCGCGGUAAUACGUAUGUUCCAAGCGUUAUCCGGAUUUAUUGGGCGUAAAGCGAGCGCAGACGGUUAUUUAAGUCCGAAGUGAAAGCCCACAGCUUAACUGUGGAAGUGCUUUGGAAACUGGAUAACUUGAGUGCAGUAGAGGAGAGUGGAAUUCCAUGUGUAGCGGUGAAAUGCGUAGAUAUAUGGAGGAACACCAGUGGCGAAGGCGGCUCUCUGGACUGUAACUGACGUUGAGGCUCGAAAGUGUGGGUAGCAAACAGGAUUAGAUACCCUGGUAGUCCACACCGUAAACGAUG